UGAUCAUCUCGGGUAGAAUGUGUCCUCACCAUCUGUGAGAGAAUAGAAGAUAGAUGUUAGAAUUAUGACAUCAAAUCUGGCACGACAAGAAAAUCAAAUGAAGUGGUGUUUUUCUAACAGUUACAUAGCCUCUCGUAGAUAAGUACAGACGUCUCUAUACCGAUCAACGAGACUCUAAUAAACCGGCUUAUGAUUCAUGACUCCUAUGAACCUAGAGCUCUUAUACCAACUUUUCACGACCUCGAUUCACCCUACGUGAACCAUCGUGACGGCACCUAGUCUCUAUGACUAGGUAAGCUAAAAAUGCGGAAGAUAAACCAAUUUGCGAAAGUAAACAAUUUUAAGCAGAAAUAGAGUAAUAAAACAACGUUUAAAAGUGUCGCUCAGCAUACACAAUAUUAACUAUCAAAAGCUAAUACAUUUUCCAAAAACCCUAAAAUCCAUUAAUCCCAAGCUACGAAUAUAAUAAAAAUGCUCUAACUCCGGAAUGUCUACAUCAACAGAAAAGAUAGAAGGGCUAUCACUACAAGAUAGAAUGGAAAGGGACUCCUCGGUAUGUGCAUGCGGUAGAUAUACCUCGAAGUCUCUGGAGCAGUCGCCUCGUCUCAAGGGUGAAAGGACUGAGUCAAAGUACCUAGAUCUGCACAUGAAAAAUAUGUGCAGAAAGGGCAUAAGUACACCACAGCGGUACUCAGUAAGUGCCAAGACUAACCUCGUUCGGGUAGUGACGAAGAAGGUCAGGGCCCUACUGAGAUAAAAUAAAAAUAUAAGGCAUGACAGAAUAAGAUAAGCAGUACAAUUGAAAGCUAACAAUAAGAAUUUAAUAUUGGAAAAUAAGGAACUCAAUAACUAAAACAGAGGCAAAACAAUCACAAGGAAAUACCACUAUUCACAAGGAUAAUAACCGAGGAUCUCUAAGUAUACCAAGGAUCCCUUAGUACCCUCAAUAUAUGCUAGGGAUCUCUUAGUAUCCUGAGAAUCUCUCGGUAUCCUCAAUAUAUACUAGGGAUCUCUUGGUAUCCUCAAUAUACGUGCUAAGGAUAUCUCGGUAUCCCGAGGAUCUCUUGGUAUCCUCAAUAUAUGUUCUAGGGAUUCUCGGUAUCCCGCACCUCAGCUCAAAUCAUAAAUACAUGCAGGGUAUCUCCCGGGAUGUCGUCCCGCAGUCCUAAAGUAAAACAAGCAGCAACAACACAAGGAAUACUCAAUUAAGCUCAAUUUCGUACCAAGUAAACAGGUAAUUCUAACCUAACAUGCUUCACAUAAUGCAAUUAAGGUAGUUUAAGCAAGUAAGCAAUUAAGUCAAUUAAACAUGUUUUUCUAAGCUAAAAACAGUCUUAAAUUGCAAGUAGUAUAAAACAGGAAAAAGGAACACAAUUGAAAUUACUAAAAGAAAACCGUAUUUUCAAUAAUUAGUUGAAGUACGCACUCGUCGCCUCACGUAGAACACAUUUCAAUUAUCAAAUAUACCAAAUCCUAAGGGGAAGGUCCCCCACACAAGGUUAGGCAAGCCAUUUACCUCGAACCAGCUCAAAUCAAUCUGAAACCACGCUCUUUCCACAAGUACUCGACUCCAAAUGGCCCAAAUCUGUUCAAUUCAAUUUCAUAAUAUAAAUAACACUUCAAGUAACGGAUUCUACAAAGAAAUUCUAAGCUAAUACGCGAAAUUAGGUAAAAUGAUCAAAAUGCCCCUCGGGCCCACAUCUAGGAAUCAGGUAAAAUUUACAUUUCCAGAAUCCUCACACUCUCACGAGUUCAGUCAUACCAAAAGUACCAAAAUCGGACCUCAAAUGGUCCCUCACAUCAUCACUCAAAGGUCUCUAAUUAGUCAAGCCCUAAUCCCCAAAUUACCAUUGAUUUUCCUUAAAUUUUGAUGUUUAUAAUGAUAAAAAUCACCCCAAUAACGAGUUUAGGGAUCAAAAACCUUACCCCAAUGAAUUCCUCUAAAACUCUCUCUUGAAAAUGCUCCCCAAGGCUUCUUCCCGUUUGAAAAGAGGUGAAAAUAGCUCAAAUUCGAGAAGACAAGAAUUUAUAUGUUUCUACCCAGCUAAUCCGCUUAUGUGGUCAUGAGACCGCACCUGCAGUCCCACUUUUGCGGAAAUAACGUUGCAUCUACGAUAAUUCACUUAAGGCAUUGGGUCGCAUCUGCGCUUCUUCUAUCGCACCUGCGGUCUCGCAGGUGCACCCAUACCACCGCACCUGUAGAAACUGGCUUCCAAGCACUUCGCCGCAUCUGCGUCUUCUCAAGCGCUUCUGCGAUCACGCACUUGUGGUGCCCAAUCCGCAGCUGCGGUUAUGACAGAAGUUCAGCAACUGAAACUGAUCAAACCAACUCCCAAUUCUUCUGGCAACCUUUCAAAACCAUCCCGAGGCCCCCGAGACCUCAACCAAAAAUAUGAACAAGUCAUAUAUCACUAUCCAAACUUAUACCAAUCCUUAAACACCUAAAACAACACUUGAACCUCGAAUUAACCAUGGAUUCAAGCCUAAGAACUCCAAAAUUCUCAAAAUACGCUUUCGAUCAAAAAGUCUAUCAACCCCCGUCCAAAUGACCUGAAAUUUUGCACACUCGUCACAUUUAAUACUACGGAGCUACUCCAACUUCCGAAAUUCCAUUUUGACCCUAAGAUCAAAAUCUAACUAUCGAACCGGAAACUUCAAAAAUUCAACUUUCGGCAUUUCAAGCCUAAAUUAGCUAUGGACCUCCAAACCACAAUCCGAUCAUGCCCCUAAGCCCGAAAUCAGUCAACGGAGCUAACGGAACAAUCGAAAUUUCAUUCCUUGGCCAUCUUCAUGUUUUCCUUUUAAGCUCUCAUUAAGGGACUAAGUGUCCCAAAACUCUCUGAAACUCAAAACCGAACAUUCUGGCAAAUCAAAAUAGUAGAAAUAAACACGGUAAAAGCAUUUAAUAGGGGAUCGGAGCAUUAAUUCUUAAGACGACCGUUCGGGUCGUCAUAUUUCCACACAUGAAAGAUCACCUUUUCAUCAGCCCCCCCCCCCCCCAGGAAGGUGAGCUCACCGGCUUCCACAUCAACAAGAGUCUUCCACGUAGCAAGGAAAGAUCUACCCAAGAUAAUAGGAACCUUAUAGUCCAUUUCACAGUCAAGAAUCACAAAAUCCACUGGGAGGAUAAACUUAUCAAUAUGAAACAACACAUCAUCAAUAAUACCCAAUGGUCUCUUCAUAGUACGAUCCGCUAUUUGUAACCUCAUAGAUAUGGGUCUUGGUUUCCCAAUUUCGAAAGUUUUGAACACCGAUAGGGCCAAGUUGAUACUCGCCCCAAGAUCACAUAAGCAAAGUAUGCACUUCCAAUUGUACAUGAGAUUGUGAAAGCGCCCGGAUCUUCCAAUUUACGAGCCAUUGAGUGCACAAUUGCACCCACUUGAUGUGUCAUCUUUAUAGUCUCAUAUUUAUCGACCUCUUAUUUGUCACCUUGUCCUUCAUGAACUUUGCAUAACCUGACAUUUGUUCCAAGGCCUCAACCAACGGCACACUAAUAGAGAAACUCUUCAUCAUGUCAAUAAACUUUUUGAAUUGGUUCUCACCAUUUUACUUGGCAAGCCUUUGAGGAUAUGGAGGAGGAGGCCUUGGCAUUGGUGCCUUAUCCUUUGGCACUACUGGUUCUAGUAUGUCAAUAAUGUGCUCCCUAGACGGGUUCACUUCUUCUUGAGUCUCCUCCACAUUGUCUUCAAUAUCAAUUCUCACCUCAUCAUUUGCUUGCACUCUAUUGCUUGGAAUCUCAUCUUCUUGUACCAAUUGUUCAUAUUCCACAAUCUUCUUUUGGCUUGAGGUGGUUGCCUCCCCUACUUUUCCACUCCUUGUAGUAACAGCCAUGGCAUGUACCGUGUUGUUCCCACCCUUUGGGUUUACCACCGUAUCACUUUGUAGUGCUCCAUUAGAACGAGUGUUCAAAGCUUGCGAGAUUUGGCCCAAUGGAACUUCUAAAUUGCGAAUUGAAGUGCUGUGAGAGGCUAGUUGAGCAUCUGAGUUGGCAUUAUUCUCCAUCAUUUGUUUAAACAUGUUCUCAAUUUGUCCCAUAUCAUUGUUGGAAGAGCUCAGACCUUGAAAACCUGACCUCGAUUGUUGUUGUUGUUCCACCCUCCUAGGUUGUUACCUCCCCAAUAGCCUUGAUUAUUGUCACUCAAAUUGCCUUGGUUAUUUUGACCAUUCCAAUUUCCUUGAUUGAUUUGAUUGUUCUCAUUCCCUUGGUUGUUUUGAUUGUUCCAACUACCUUGAUUGCUUGAAUUCCAAUUUCCUUGAUUUCCUUGUUGUCGACAUUGUUGUUGAUUUGGGACUUGAUUGUUGUUUCUUUGCCCUUGGAAUUUGUUCACAUAUUGUACUUCCUCAUCUUGUUCAUUGUAUUGUCCAUCUUGAUCAAAUCCACUAUCAUCUUGCACAUAUAUUUCAACCCGGUUUUGCACUUGAGGACCCUUUUGCCUUCUCUUAUUUACCAUCAUAUUAACUCCCUCCAUUGCAUUUACUUGCUUGGGACCUUGCACUUGUUAAAGUUGAGCUUUGGCUAAUUAAUUCAUUGUGGUGGUCAACUCAGCAAUUGCUUGCCCAUGAUCAUGUAAUUCUUUAUGCAAGUAAAUCACAUUUGGAUCAUCUUAAGGAACGUUUGCUCUACUUUGUCAUGCCGAUGAAGUAGUAUCCUCCAUUUCAUAUAAUAUCUCACAAGCUUCUUCAUAUGGCAUUGUCAUGAAAUUUCUACCGGCAAGUUGGUUGACCAUGCAUUGAUUGAUAGUGUUGAUCCCCCUAUAGAAAGUUUGUUAAAUCAUAGCUUCUGUCAUGUCAUUACUGGGGCACCCUUUGACCAUUGUUCGGUAUCUCUCCCAUAUCUCAUACAAAGGCUCGUUAGGUUCUUGUUCAAAAGCUAGAAUAUCAUCCGUAAGAGUUUCCAUAUGAACGGGAGAAAAGAACUUGGAAAUGAAGUUCUCAGCCAAUUCAUCCCAUGUAUGGAUAGAAUGAUUUGGCAACCUCUCUAACCAAUCCGAGGCCUUCCCCCGUAGAGAGAAAGGGAAUAGCCUCAAUCAUAAAGCAUCCUUGGAGUUGUUUGUCUAUUUACUCUCCCAGCAAGUGUCAACAAACCCUUUCAAGUUCUUGUAUGCAUUUUGACUCGGAGCCCAGUUAAAGAAUCCCCAUUGUUCCAAUAGUGUAAGCAUAAAAUUGUGAUUUGAAAGUUUCCCGCCCUAAUGUGGGGCUGGACUAUGGCACUUGUGUAUCCUUCAUUCGGCAACACCUGGUGUGCCGCCGCUCUUGGAGGAGGUAAGGGUGGAACGGGAACAUUGUCUUGAGGCGACCGGCCUCGUCUAUUUGUUUGAGGUUCAAGAGGAACCUCAUCAACUAGGUCAUCAUCUCCAUCAUCCCCCAAAGGCAUGUUUCCAAGAGGAUUAUUGUUGUUGAGAGCCAUUGUAUCACCAACAAUUGUUUCACAAAAAGAUUAGUAACCCGAAAGGAAAGGAAUACAAAUCACACAAAACCAAUUCCUCAGGGAGCAUAGAUGGGAUUAGGUAACCCGAAAGGAAAGGAAUACAAAUCACCAAACCUCAAAUUGGGGUUGUAAAGUGGUCGAUGCAAUUAUAAUUACCCAACUAGGAGUCAGAUCAAUUCCUCAGGGAGCAUAGAUGGGAUUAGGUAUAUACUCGGACUAAGCAUAUAAUGUGUCCCAAAUGCACUUCCACAUACUUUGUUGUUUUUGUCUACUUCUAAAUAAAGUUAUUUCUAGAAAGUAUAAAACUAGAGAAUGAUAUUUUUGGUAUUGUUUUUCAAGUUGUAAAAGACCUAGGACUGUAAUUUCCACCAAGGUGGUUGUCUAACGGGUUGUGGGCUUUAGAGCGAGUUUCAUUGGUCGGGUCGUAAUAUAGCAAUCAACAUAAUUACCCACUCCAUAACUCUCGGUAAUAGAGUGGUUUUGCCCAAUUUGGUUUUCUCAAGCCCAAAUGGGCAAUUCACAAAACAAUUGAUAGAUGCUCAAGUCGGGUUUUACUAUCUCUAGAUUCAAUCCUUUAUGUAAGGCCCUGUGAAAUUUCUACUCAAAAAAACCCAAGUCUUGUGGUGCCAAGUUAGGACCACGUGUUAGAAAUUCAUAAAAUUCUUCGGUUAAAGUUAAAGAUUUGUGCAUUAAAAAGUUUAAGAAUAGUGUUUUCCAAAAAAGUGCAAUUCUGCGGUCAACUCUAUGAUCGCAUAAUAGCUAUGCGGACCGCAUAGUCAUCGCAGAGUCAGGCAGUGUGAAGGUUAAUUUUGAGGUCAACUAUGCGGCUAAAUAGGCGAUCACAUAAUCGAUAUGCGGGCUGCAUAGUCAUCGCAUAAUCCUCUUGGAUGCGGUCGAACAUAAAUUUAACAUGUAAAUCAUAUUUCUUUCUUGAUUCUUUUCAAAAUGAGGGAAAUUCAACUUGAAGCUUUUAAGGAAAUUACCCCGCUCACGAAACAUACAUGCGACACGGUUACACAUAGAUUUUUAAGCUAUUAUAAUAUUCCUCAAUUCUUUUCGAAAUUUCGAAGUUCAAAUGAAACCUUUUAAAUCUUAAAUUCUUCAAAAUUCAAUUAUUUCAAGACAAUUACCGCGCAACCUCAAUUUCGCUUCUUCUCAAGGCAAGCAAUAAACAUAAAUCGACGAUAAUAUCAACAAGGCAUGAUGUAAACCUAGACUAUCCGGACAUAGGCAUAGCUAGUAGCUACGUACGGACUCUCGUCACCUCGUGCGUACGUAGCCCCCAUAAUUUAAAAGAACAUAUUAAUUUAUUUCACCUAUGGGGUUAAUUUCCUCGUUCAAGGUUAGAAAGGAGACUACCUCGCUCCGAAAUUUCAUAUCCGGCUCCCCACGGCUUUCCAACAAUUCCAACCGAUGCCCAACACUCCAAAACUAGUCAAACAAUAUGCAAGUCAAUAGAGAUACACUCUAAUACUCACAACAAUUCGAUUUAAACAAAUUCCCAACUCCACUUGAAAGGUUGAUAAAAUCACCCUCACGCCUACGUGCCCGAAUUUUGAAAAUUUUCGAAGAUAAACUUUACCCAUAACCCCAUGAACUCAAAUAUAUAAUUUAUUUCCAAUUCCAUGCCCAAAUUCGUGGUAAAAAAAUAAAAUACCAAAUUCUAGGUCUUCUACCAAAAACCCCCACAAUUUAUACUAAUUUCCAUGUUCCAAUCCAUGUAUAAUUCAUAUAUUUAACUCACAAAUAGGAAGAAACCACUUACCUAGAAUUGCUUGAUGAAAAUCUCCCCUUGAAGCUCUCCAAAAUCGUCCAAACCAAAUGAAAAUGGGAGAAAAAUGGGCCAAGUCCCGUUUUUAUAAAACCCUUCUGUCCAGCGACAUAUCCCCACCUGCGGAAAAAUAGUCGCACCUACAGCUUCGCAAGUGCGAGGCUGCCUUCACUUCUGCGGUUUCCUUCCACUACUGCGGUCAACUCCUUCACUUCUGCGCUUGCGCAGAUGUGGCUAACACUCUGCACUUGCAGUCCUUCCCCUGACUAUCCAACCCCGCAUCUAUUACCCUAAGGCUGCUUCUGCGGCUUCGCACCUGUGGCCAAAACCUUGCAGGUGCGUUACACCAGAUAUCAGCUGCCUAAAUUCUUUUUCAAAUUUCAAAUUCCAUUUGUUAGCCACCCGAAAUCCACCUGAGCUCCCCGGGACCCCGUCCAGUCACACGAACCAGUUCCAAAACAUGACGCAGACCUGGUCGAGGCCUCAAAUCAUAUCAAACAAUGUCGAAUUCACGAAUCACACCCCAUUCCAAGCUUAAUUAACUUUAGAAUUUUAAACUUUUUCAUUUGAUGUCGAAACCUAUCAAAUCACGUCAUAUUGACCUCAAAUUUUGCACACAAGUCAUAUUUGACAUUAUGGACCUACUCCGACUUACGAAAUCAGAAUGUGACCCCGAUAUCAAAAAGUCCACUUCCGGUCAAACUUCUUAAAAAUCUUCAAAUUUCUAACUUUAGCCUAAUGACUCCAAAAUGACCUACGGACCUCCGAAUCCACUUCCAGACAUGCUCCCAAUACCAGAAUAUUCAUACAGAGCUAUUCCCAAAAUUGGAAUCCUAAAAGGACAUCGAUAACACCGAAAUGAACUGCAACCCAUAUUUAUGAAAUUCUUCCCAAAAUGCUAACUUCCACAAUAGGCGCCGAAAUGCUCGGGGUCAUCCAAUUCUGACCACGCGUACAAGUUAUAAUACUUGAAGUGAAGCUGCUCAUGGUCUCAAACUACUGAACGAUGUGCUAGAGCUCAAAACGACCGGCCGGGUCGUUACAACAUGAUACUUCGUAUGCUGGUCAUCCUGGUGUUGAAAGGAUGUUGGCAUUGCUGUCUCAGAAUUACUUUUGGCCGAAAAUGGAAGAUGAUAUUCAGACCUAUGUGAAAACUUGCCUUGUUUAUCAACUUGACAAGACUGAACAGAAGAAGGAAGUUGGUUUGCUACAACCUCUACCCAUUCCUGAGUGUCUAUGGCCUUCUGUUUCUAUGGACUUUAUCAGCGGGCUUCCAAAGGUUGAUGGCAAAGCAUCAAUUAUUGUGGUGGUAGACAGGUUCUCAAAGUAUGGGAUUUUUUGGUAUUGCACCAACCAUUUAUUCUUCUGAAGUAGCUACUGAAUUAUUCUACAAGAAUGUUGUGAAACACUUUGGGUUCCAAAAGAUAUUUUGAGUGAUCGGGAUGCAAGAUAUACAGGCCGAUUUUGGAUUGUUGUGUUCAAAUUCUUGGGGACUUACUUGAAAUUCUCAAUUGCAAAUCGCCCACAAACUGAUGGGCAAACCAAGCAUAUCAAUCAUCUUCUUGAAUAAUACUUAAGUCAUUAUGUGACUGCUAAUCAGAGGAAUUGGGUUGAGAUACUAGACAGUGCCCAGCUUUGUUACAACUUGCACAGGUCUAUGGCAGCUGAAAUGAGUCCUUUUGAGAUAGUGUUAGGAAGACAGCCUGACAAUGCUGGGAGUCACUCAAAUAAAAUCAGUGGGAAAGUGUCAUGCUGCUUAUAGAUAUGCUCGUGACAAGCAUGAUUUGCUGGCUGAGGCGCGAGACAAUUUGAGAAAAGUGGCUAAGAGAAUGAAAAGGAACGCUAAUAGAAUAGACGGCCUUUGGAGUUCAAUGUUGGUGACAAGGUGUUUCUGAAACUUACUCUACAUAUUUGGAAGAAAAUCAGUGGUAAGACACGCUAUCAUGGAAUAAUUCCAAAGUAUGACAUCUCAUUUGAAGUUAUAAAGAAAGUGGGUGAAGUGUCUUACCGACUGAAUCUGCCGGAAUGUCUCAAAAUUCACCCAACUUUUCAUGUGAGUUUCCUGAAAUGGUUCCAUGAAGAUACUGAAGAUCUAACAAGGGCGGUGCCAAAGCGUGCUCCUCCAGUAGAGCUCAAGAAAUUUGAAGAGACGAUUGAGAAGAUUUUUUAUCACCGUAUGCCGGGUCAAAGAAAAAAGAAUAGACGGACAGAGUUCCUAGUUAAAUGGGCGGGAAAGUAGGAAUGUGCUCAACUUGGAAGAAAGGACCGUCUCUAUGGCAAUUUCAGGAUCAAAUCAAGGCGUAUCUGGAUUCUUCCUCAUCGAAGGUUACAAGCUCAUCUAGUGUGGGAAGUUUGUUAGCCCCUCGUCUUGAUUGAUCGAACAUGGCAUGGGCAUGACAAGGGAUUUACACGAUGGACCUCGGCACGCCCCCAUAAUGAUUGUGGCAUCAUAUUGACAAAGCUAUCUAACAUGGGCAGGUGUUGAUGGGCAUGGGAUAUGGAACGACGGCAUGUGGCUAAGGUGUCAAAGCAUGUCAAGACCAUGGCAUUGGCGUGGCCAUGGCAAGGCAAAGACAAUGGGCAGCAGCGGCUGGAAAAACUAAGGCAGGGCAUGGCAAGCAGAUGGGCGCGAGCAAGGCAAUGUCAUGAGCGAGCUGGGCAAGCGGCAGACAUGCGCGCAAAGGCAUACUACACGAGGGCUUGGCGCGAAGACAUGACAGAGUUGGCCUUUGGCGCCAAAAUUCGAAGGUUGCGCCCAUGUGCCACGCACAUGCAGGCCAGUGCCAGUUUCGGGUAGUUUCCUGUUUUUCAGCAUUGUGGCUAAGUGGGGCUGUGGGAAGUUGUGUUAUUUGAAUUUUGAAAUUCAAAUUUCUUGGUAGUUGGGGAUGUCAACUGCUAGAUAGGAUAAGGUUGAGAGCCAAAAACGUUUGUCUAUAUAAUUCCUAAAAAGGCAGAGUGUUGGCUGCCUUUGACUCAUUUUUAUAAGGUUGUGUUUAUUUGUUUCUUUAUAGCACGAGUUAAUACAAAAUUGGAAAAAAAUUAUUGUAAGUUGUAUGUCUUGUCUGAUUUCUUUGCGUUGUUAUAAUAUAAGUGUUAAGCCAAUAACAUGAGGGAAAAAGAAGAGGGCUGAAUCAAUUAUUAUGUGGCUGCCGUGCAGUGUCAAAACGAAAAAAAUUGACUCUCUAACAGUAGCCAUGUUAUGCCUUACAUAUUGUCUUUAGAAAAAGUUCGCCGUGAAAUCUUUAUUGCGUCUGUUCCUAUUUAAAUCAUGUUGUACUUACUAAGUAAAACUUAAAAGCACAAUGUUCUGUUAUAUUAAAAUUCAAAGAAAUAAGGCAGAGUUAGGUAUUACGUAUAGUAGUUUGGAGAUGGAAUUUAAAAUCACUUGAAAAACUACAAAUUUUUUUGGAAUAGUUCAUUUUUUUCAAAAAUAAGAAAUAUUUCGCGGAAUUUACCGCAAGCAAGUUAUCUACUUUUUAGUUAUGAUACCGGAAUUUUGAUGGGUUGGUUUUAUCAUAUUGAUUGCUUAUUUGCUCCUUUUGAUUUUUUCUUGGUUUCCUCUUCAUUAUUCAUUCUUUUAUGUUAGAUUUUGUUUUCAUUUGGUUUUUCUUUGUUUAGAUAUGCGAGUAUUAGGAUCUAGGGAUGUGGUAAGUUGUCAAAGAAUAGGUAUAUUGAAAGGAUAUAUUCUUGUAGAAAUUAGUUGAUUGUUACUUCCAUUUCCAUACGAGAAGGUUUUGUUUUAGUUUUGAAAUAUAAUAUCAUUAAUAAUAGACAAAAUGAGAAGGAAAAAAACUAAACCUUAUCAGAGGAGGAGCACUGAUGCACCGGUGAGGAGGUGUGAGCGACUGGCUGUAGUGGGCACGCGGAGAGGUAGAGGGAGACCUAAGAAGUAUUGGGGAGAGGUGAUCAGACAGGACAUGGCGCGACUUAGGAUUACUGAGGACAUGGCCCUUGAUAGGGAAUUAUGGAGGACGAGUAUUAAGGUUGUAGGUUAGGGGAGAGUGUGAAUAUUUCUACAGCACAAGUGAGGGAGACUAUCUAGUUAGGAGUUAGACUAGGAAUGUCAGUGGUCGUCUAUUGAUGCAGGGCUUUACCUUCUAGUUGUACUAUACCAGCCAUCUAUUUCGUAUUUCGUAUUUCGUAUCAUGUAUUUCAUAUUUCAUAUCUCUUAUAUAUUGUUGUUAUUUUUAUUACGCAUUUUUAUGGUACUAAUAUAUCAUCUCCUAUUGUUUUUUUGAGCCGAGGGUCUCCUGGAAACAGCCUCUCUACCCUUCGGGGUAGGGGUAAGGUCUGCGUACAUAUUACACUCCUCAGACCCCACUUGUGGGAUUAUAAUGGGUCGUUGUUGUUGUUGUAUGGUUCAAGAUUUAGUGCCAAUAAAAAGUGUAAUUUGUUUUUUUUUUGGCACACUCAAACACUUUUUGACUUGGAUAAAUCAUUGCUGAUGAGAUAAACUCAAAAUUUAGAUGGGUAGUCUGAAUAUUAGUUCGUUAAAAAUAGUUCAGCCUGACAAAUAAUUUUGAGUAGAAUUGACAUCAUUAAUUUUGAAUUUCUAAAAUCGUGCUUUUUUUAGCUUGGGUGUCCUUAGAGAUUGUCUUUUUUAAAUAUAUAUUUAAAUGAUUCCAUUGUAUGAUAACUAGUGGAAUUACCCGUACUUCCGCGACCAUAAAAAAUUCUUUAAAAUAUUACUAUAUUAAAUAGUAUUCCUUAAUUUUUAUAGUUAUUGAUUUAUUGAUUUUAUAAAAGGAAAACCAAUCUUUGAUUUUACUAUGAACUAUUACAGUGAAUAAACGGCAUAUUACAACAGUUUAAACUACAUUCACAAAUCACAACGCAAAAUCUCAUCUUAAAUUCUCAGCGAAUGUUAAUUAAAUUCCAACUUUAACCAAUUGAAAGUGAAAAUCAAAAUCUAAAGUAUAAUAUCCUUAAUUUCAUUUACAUUACAUGACUCCUUCAUUUUACUAUAAAAAAGGAUUUCUAACGCAUUGCCCCUCGAUAUACCAAAACUAAAUUAUGCUUCUAGCUCGCAGAGUACUUACACCCUUAUCUAUCUAAGGCUGUAAAAUUAAACCUAAAAGUCCUCAACACCUUAUCAUACGAUUUCAACCUAUCUAACAUUAAAACAAUAUCGCACCUCAUCGAUCACUUGAUCGUUCAUCUAAUGAUCUCUGACUAAGCAUUUACCGAUAUUAGUUAGGCAAAAUAUUUGCUAACUUUUUUGCAUUAACUUUGACAAAAAAUUUCCUACAAACUUGUACAUAUUAAUAAGCCUAAAAUGAGUAAAACAUGUUGGAGAAUUUACCCUGGGGAGAAGCACCAGAUUUGUAUGACUCAAAGCUGUAAGAAUUGUGGCAACAUAGGAAAAACAGAGAACAACCUAAAGACAUUCUAAGCUAUACAUCUUUAAUAGGUCUAAUAAAUAAUACUCCCUUCGUUCCGAUUUACGUGAACCUAUUUCCUUUUUAUUCGUUCCAAAAAGAAUGACCCAUUUGUAAAUUUGGUAAUAAUUUAACUUAAACUUAUAAUUCUACCCUUAAUGAGAAGAUUUUAUAACCACAGAAAUACUCUGAAGUCCUUUUUGACUUGUUUAGGACCACAAAUUUCAAAAGUCUUCAUUUUCUCUUAAACUUCGUGUCUAGUCAAACAGAUUCACAUAAAUUGGAACGGAGGGAGUACUACUCUUUAAUAUGUCUACUAAAUAUUACUACCUUGUAAAUUCAUCCGAGCAUUUGUAUUAUAUUGACUCAUUGUGUAUACAAGGUGGGUUGCUCCGAUGGUAAGCAUCUUCCACUUCCAACCAAGAGGUUGUGAGUUCGAGUCAACCCAAGAGCAAGGUGGGAAGUUCUUGGAGGUAAGGACGCCGAGGGUCUAUUGGAAACAGCCACUCUACCCCAGGGUAGGGAUAAAGUCUGCGUACACACUACCCUCCCCAGAUCCCACUAGUGGGAUUGUAUUGGGUUGUUGUUGUUAUUGUUGUUGUUGACUCAUUGUGUAUACAGCUUGAUGACUUAUGCUAAUUAUUUGGCUCAACAGUUAGUCAUUGUCUCUGCAAGAUUAUGUAAAUUGACUUCUUUUCAAAAGCAUUUUAAGAUUCUAACACUUACAUUCUUGGUUAAAAAGAAAUAUGUACCUUCUUCCUUUAACAGUAGAGUUAAAAGAACUUUCAGUUUUCUAUCUCUCUCUCUUAGUUAGUCGCCGUCUUUUUAUUUUUAUUUUUUUUUGUAUGAAAAUCAUGGAUUAUCAACGGUUAUUUUAACAUACCUUUCCAAUUGUUUCCUAUCAUCGCCUCAAGGAUUGAGUUGCAUCUCUAUUUCUUGUUGUAGGACCAAAUCCUCUACUUCCUUGGUCCAUUGAAUUACCUCGGAUGACAGUGACACAAAGUCGAGAAAAACAAAUUCAAGCCUUGGGACAGAAAAAGGAAAAAAAUAAAGAGCCUAAAUAGAGAUAAAUGAAAUUAAACACCAAUUAAAUAUGAAGGCUCAAACUGGUCAUGGGCUUCUUCUUGGCCAAAGCUUCCUCACUGACGUUUGAUUGUCUCUCCUCCGUCGAUUUCUUCUCUGCUGUAAAGUCAAUGAUGGGAUAUAUGAAAUGAAACACCAAACAUCAUAAAUUGUCAUAUCAACAAAGACAUGCACAUAUGUAAGUCAAAAGCAUAAGCAAUUGAAAAGGAAAGAAUUACCUAUCUGUUUG
rnacentral:lncRNA from 1 species